GACGAACGCUGGCGGCGUGCCUAAUACAUGCAAGUCGAACGAACCGCGACUAGGUGCUUGCACUUGGUCAAGGUGAGUGGCGAACGGGUGAGUAACACGUGGGUAACCUACCUCAUAGUGGGGGAUAACAGUCGGAAACGACUGCUAAUACCGCAUAGGACAUAGGAUCACAUGAUCCAGUGAGGAAAGGUGGCGCAAGCUAUCGCUAAGAGAUGGACCCGCGGUGCAUUAGCUAGUUGGUAGGGUAAAGGCCUACCAAGGCGAUGAUGCAUAGCCGACCUGAGAGGGUGAUCGGCCACAUUGGGACUUAGACACGGCCCAAACUCCUACGGGAGGCAGCAGUAGGGAAUCUUCCGCAAUGGACGCAAGUCUGACGGAGCAACGCCGCGUGAGUGAAGAAGGUCUUCGGAUCGUAAAGCUCUGUUGUUAGAGAAGAACAGCGCAUAGAGUAACUGUUAUGCGUGUGACGGUAUCUAACCAGAAAGCCACGGCUAACUACGUG
rnacentral:rRNA from 1 species